UAGUAUGGUAUAUUAGAGUUACGGCUUA
rnacentral:sRNA from 1 species